CCUACGGGAGGCAGCAGUGGGGAAUAUUGGGCAAUGGAGGCAACUCUGACCCAGCAACGCCGCGUGAAUGAUGAAGGUCUUCGGAUUGUAAAGUUCUGUGAUGGGGGAUGAACACAAUGACGGUACCCCAAUAGCAAGCCACGGCUAACUACGUGCCAGCAGCCGCGGUAAUACGUAGGGGGCAAGCGUUAUCCGGAUUUACUGGGUGUAAAGGGAGCGUAGACGGUGUGGCAAGUCUGAAGUGAAAGCCCGGGGCUCAACCCCGGGACUGCUUUGGAAACUGUCAUGCUGGAGGGCUGGAGAGG
rnacentral:rRNA from 1 species